GGGGUGUGAUGAACAGUUGCAAUUGUAGUCACAAUAAAGAUAAUAUGACUAGAAAUAGUAGUUCAUGGCGUAGCAGGGCACUGCAGGCCGUUACAGGGUGUAGCAGCACGUAGCAGGACAAAGCAAGCAUUUAUCAGACUAAAAAAGAGGACAUUGUGUUUUGUUUUUCUUAACCAGUCAAAAUUUAAAUAAGAACUUUGCCAACAUGGCAAGAACCAGAACAGAUUAGCCAACAACUAGCUUGUGUAACAUGAGCUUCCUGUGAGCAGUGUUAUUCAUCAUUUUGCAUGUGCAGCAUUUCGAAAACUUGCUGCAAAGUGAUAAAACUCAAACCAAAUACAGAGACAUUCACAGAGAAAAAUUGGUGACUCUCUUCAAGGGAGAGGAGGGAGGGGAGGUAGGUUUUGCCCAAAAAGUCGCUAGAUUUGU